UACGUAGGGGGCAAGCGUUGUCCGGAUUUAUUGGGCGUAAAGAGCGUGUAGGCGGCUUGGUAAGUCCGCUGUGAAAGCCCAGGGCUCAACCCUGGAAAGGCGGUGGAAACUGUCAAGCUUGAGUCCGGAAGAGGCGAGUGGAAUUCCUGGUGUAGCGGUGAAAUGCGCAGAUAUCAGGAGGAACACCGGUGGCGAAGGCGGUGGUCUGGGCCGGUACUGACGCUGAGGAGCGAAAGCGUGGGGAGCGAACAGG
rnacentral:rRNA from 1 species